UUAUGUUACCCUUUGAGGGCACAGAUGAGAUCCCACAGAGGGAUCAAUGUUAUGUUAAUGUUUAUGCACAGGUUGAGUUUGGUUGAUCUCAACACAGGUUAUGUUACCCUUUGAGGGCACAGAUGAGAUCCCACAGAGGGAUCAAUGUUAUGUUAAUGUUUAUGCACAGGUUGAGUUUGGUUGAUGAGUAUGUAAAGAAAAGUUUUAAUUUUUAUGCAUGUUGUUGAUCAUGUAUGGGAUUAUACAGGUUUACAGGUUUUAUGUCAGGCUUGCUACGGGUCCUGGCGGCCUUAAGUCGACCCGGAUCCUAGCGCCGGUAGCGGUCCGAUUUUCGGGUCGUUACA
rnacentral:lncRNA from 1 species